rnacentral:rRNA from 1 species
AACGAACGCUGGCGGCAUGCCUAACACAUGCAAGUCGAACGAAGCCUUCGGGCUUAGUGGCGCACGGGUGCGUAACGCGUGGGAAUCUGCCCUUGGGUUCGGAAUAACAGUUAGAAAUGACUGCUAAUACCGAAUGAUGUCUUCGGACCAAAGAUUUAUCGCCCAAGGAUGAGCCCGCGUCGGAUUAGCUAGUUGGUGAGGUAAAGGCUCACCAAGGCGACGAUCCGUAGCUGGUCUGAGAGGAUGAUCAGCCACACUGGGACUGAGACACGGCCCAGACUCCUACGGGAGGCAGCAGUGGGGAAUAUUGGACAAUGGGCGAAAGCCUGAUCCAGCAAUGCCGCGUGAGUGAUGAAGGCCUUAGGGUUGUAAAGCUCUUUUACCCGGGAUGAUAAUGACAGUACCGGGAGAAUAAGCCCGGCUAACUCCGUGCCAGCAGCCACGGUAAU